UUGGUUUGAGAAGUUUGAUCUUUGCUUGAUUAAUUUAUAUUUGGUUGAUUAAACAUGUAAAUUUUUGUGCGAUUUAUUAUUUCUUGAUGAAGUUUUUAGUUUAUUCGCAGUUUUUUAUUUUAUUUUUUUAGGAAACUAAGAAUUAGUUAAAUCUUACAGUUUUGACAAAGUUUGUGCCAGCAGUCGCGGUUAUACAAUAAGGGCAAAUAAAUUUUAUUAGGGCUUGCAUUUAAAAUUUACAAAUUUAGAUUUAUAUAUUUUUUUAUUGGGUGAAAUCAUGAAUUAAUUUAUGAUCUAUAUAUUUGAUGUUGAAUGUGAAAUUUCACAGUGGGACUAGGAUUAGAUACCCUAUUAUUAUGAAAUGUUAAGGAGUUCUUUUGGUAUUAUUAGUUAAGAUCUUUAAAUUAAAAAGAUUUGGCGGUAAUUUAGUCUUUUCAGAGGAACCUGCCCUGUAAUUGAUGAUCCACGAUAGAUUUCACCUUAUUUUAGCUUGUAUACCUCUGUCAUUGAAUGUCUUAUUAGAGUUAAAUUUUCUUUAAUUUUUAAUGGAAAAAAUGUCAAGUCAAGGUGCAGCAGUAUUAAGGAAGAGGUGGGUUACAAUAAAAAUAUUUAUGGAUAGGGAAUUGAAACAUUUUCUUGAAAUUGGAUUUGAAAGUAAUUUUUAUUAAUAUAUAAUUUUGAUUUAGGCUCUAAAUUAUGCACACAUCGCCCGUCACUCUCGUUAUUUAAAAUGAGAUAAGUCGUAACAAAGUAGGCCUACCGGAAGGUGGGCCUGGGAAGG
rnacentral:ncRNA from 1 species